AACGAACGCUGGCGGCGUGUUUAAGACAUGCAAGUCGCACGGGAUAAGACAUGUAGUAAUACUUGUUUUAUUUAGUGGCGCACGGGUGAGUAACACGUGAAUUACAUGCCCUAUAGUGGGGAAUAGCCCAGGGAAACUUGGAUUAAUACCCCAUGGUAUCGAAAGAUUAAAGGUGGCCGCAAGGCUGUAGCUAUAGGAUUGGUUCGCGCCCUAUCAGCUUGUUGGUGAGGGAACGGCUCACCAAGGCAAUGACGGGUACCUGGUCUGAGAGGACGAUCAGGCACACUGGAACUGAGACACGGUCCAGACACCUACGGGUGGCAGCAGUCGAGAAUAAUUCACAAUGGGGGCAACCCUGAUGGUGCAACGCCGCGUGGAGGAUGACGGUCUUCGGAUUGUAAACUCCUGUCAUCUGGGAGAAAGACCUGACGGUAAAUAGCCGGCAGGGUUGAUAGUACCAGAAGAGGAAGGGACGGCUAACUUCGUGCCAGCAGCCGCCGUAA
rnacentral:rRNA from 1 species